CGGGGUGUAGCUCAGCCUGGUAGAGCAUCAGCUUUGGGAGCUGAGGGUCGCGAGUUCGAAUCCCGCCGCCCCGACCA
rnacentral:tRNA from 1 species